rnacentral:lncRNA from 10 species
UGGCUAAUUUGCAGCCGCUAUCCCUCCAGCUAAAAAAUGUCUAGACAGGGAGGCUCCUGACACAAAUAGAGACAUUAAUGAUUAACAUGAAAUUCAUCUUUACAUCAGUAGCAGGAUAAUGGAAGUUUAUAGGAAUAAAAGGCCCGUUGUCAUUUGGCAGUUUGUGAGGAUGAGCACAUCAUAUUUUAAGGUUUAGGGUCUUUAGACACAUACUCCCUUAGUAUACUAAGGACCUGGAGGCAAUCUUGCCAGACUUCCUCUGCAGGCAUCUUUAAUUUUCUUGUAUCAUAAAUUUUUAUCUUACAUUCUAUACAAGGGGGAAUCACUGAGCUGAUGAGUGAGCCUAACCAUUUGCCCGACACCAUUGCAGAAACUGGUUAUUUUACCAAGGCUUUGACUGGAAUAGUGUGCUUCCCUUUAAGGAAUCAAACUUGACUUUUGGAGCUAAUAAAAGCCCCUUGGGAAAACUGCUCUCUUACCUUGUCUACACAGUCUCUGGACAGAGUUCCUGACCUGUGUAUCCAGAAUGAGUGAUCCUUGAAAAUCUCAAAUUGGAUCAUGUCCUUCAGCUACUUAAAACCUGUCAAUGAUGACCAGUUGUACUUCAAGUAAAAUCCAAAUCCUCUCAAGGUACCAAGGGGAGAAGGAAGAAACAAUACAAGAAUUGGCCCCAGGAAAUAUUUAUUCUAAAUCCGGCACAUGCAAAACCCCGAGAUAGCCAUCAAGGACAAAAAUCGUCACUGGGAGGUGGGAAGCCCUGAAGGAAAAGCACUAGUCUUGGUGUCAGAAGACCUAUGCUUGUGUUUUCACGCUGACAGGACAUGUGUAUCUCAACAAGUAUCUUCAUCUUCUGAACCUAUUUCCUCAUCUAUAAAAGGUCACUAACACCCAUUUUGAAAAACCACAUGUAGGUUAGGAGGAUUCAAUGUAUGUGAAAGAGUUCUUCAAACUCCUAAGCACUUGCUGUGCUGAUGGUAAAGGUGAUAAUGAGGAGGAAGGAGUGUCUGCUAUGGGAAAACCACUGUCCUAAAACUUUUAAAUACAUUGUUAAUUAAUCUGCACCAAUAAGUCUACGAAUUAGAUUCUAUCAUAAUCUCAAUUUUACAGAUGAGGUUCAGAGAGAUGACAAAUUUUCCCCAAUAUCACACAGUCAUUUUAAUGGUGGAACAGAAAUUUUAACCCAAAUCUAUCUGGCUCCAUAGUUAACACUCUUAACUACCAUAUUAUAUGGCCCCAAUCUAACUCCCUUAUCUUUGGGAAAUACUUUUAUUUAUAGGUCAAUGACACAGAGUUACAGAUCCUGGGUACAGCCUGGGUCUGUAACUUACUCAAUGUAUAAUGCUGGGUAAGUCUUAACCUCUCUGUGCCUCAUCUGUUAAAUGAAAGAGUUGAACUCUAGGAUCUCUCAAGUUCAUUCCCUUUGAGUUCAUCUAACAUUAUACGGUCUUCGUUCUUGUUGGUACAAUAGUUUAUUAGGUAAUUGUUUAUUAGAUAAUUAACAGUCCAUGUCACCUUGGCUAUCUGCCAAAUGAAUAGAAGCACACUACAGAUAUUAGAGAGGGAGGGUUGAAGGGAAAAGAUUUCCAAGGGCUUUGGCAGGUGGAGAAGGCUUUUUGGAGAGGAUAGGCCUGAACCGUUUCACCAUUAAAAGCACUUUUAUUAUUUUUCUCCAUAGUCACUAUAUUUACAAAGAUUUUAUGUUUACUUAACAUUGUGUCAUGGUCUGGCAAAAGAGAGCAUCUGCAGCCCCUCCAGGAAAGAAGAGAAAUCCUGUAAUCCCUAGAGAGAGUCAGGCAGGAGGACAAAAUUAGUGGCUGCAUGCUUACUGCAGACCAGCACGGUAUGAGAACAGUAUUUUGUCAUCAGCUGUGAGUCAGCUAAAAGUUGAAGCCAAAUGUUCAAGCAUUGUUAGGAGUUGAGUCUUUUCUUUGAUGAAGCAUAUGGGAGCCUCAUUCAUCCACACUUUCCUUGCCUCCACAUCCUUGCCAUUAUGGGAAUGGCAUAUAAGCCAGUGAUGCUCAACCAGAAGUGACUUUGUCCCUUAUGAACUAUAGGCGAUAUCCGAAGACAGACUAAAUGCCAUGACUUGGCUGGGGAGGAAGUGGGAGCUUGUUCCUGAUAUCUAGUGGAUAGAGGCCAACAAUACUUAGGGCAGGCUCCCCACCCUCCAUCCCCAGCAACAGAGAAGUAUCUGGUCCAAAAUUUCAAUAGUGCUGAGGCUGAAAAACUCUGAUACAAGGGAACAGCAGUUACAACAAAGAAAAAGAAAGCCAACUCACCAAGAGCAGCUGUAAAUAGAAACAUCUUAUUUUUACUUUCUCCUCUCCUCCCCAGCAUUAAAAGGAAUAGAAAGGAAAGCACUUGGAAUCCCCAGGACAGCUUGUGGAAGGUUUUGGGGUAGUGUGGGUGGAGCUUUAAACUGAAUAUGAGAUUGAUUUUUAAAAUAACUUCUUAUUUUGAAACAGUUUAAGACUCACAAGAGUUGCAAAAAUUAUAGUAUAAAGUCCCCAUAUACUCUUUAGCUAACUUCUUCCAAUAAUAAUGUUAUAUAACCAUAGUAAAUGGCCAAAACCAGAAAAGUGACUGUGAUGCAAUAAUACUGUUAACUCAGGUGCAGAUAUUAUUUGGAUUUCACCAGGAUAUACGUGCACUCUUUUUGUCUAUUUGUUUUGGUAUAUAGUUCUGUGACAUUUUAUCACAUGGCUAGACUCAAGUACCCAUCACCAUAAUCAAGAUACAGAACUGCUCCAAAUCCACAAAGAAACUCUCUCAUGUGUUACCCCUUAAUAGGCGCACGCUUCCUUCAACCCCAGUCUCUAAUAAACACUGAUCUGUUCUUUAUUACUGUAAUUUAGUCAUUCCAAUAAUUGUAUAUAAAUAUAAUUUUACAGUAUAUUGCCCUUUGAGGUUUUGUUUACUGUUUUAUUUUUCAUUCAGCAUAAUGCACUUGAGUCAUCUAAGUUGUUGUAUGUAUCAAUAGUUUAUUCCUUAUUACUGAUGAAUAGGAGCCCAUUGUAUGGAUGUACCAAAGUUUAUUUAACAAUUUACUUGUUGAAGGAUAUCUGGAUUAUUUCCAUUUCUUGGCUGUUAUAAAUAAAGCUGCUAUGAGCUUUUGUGUUCAUCUUUUUGUGUGAACAUAAGUUUUCAUUUCUUUAGGAGAAAUGCCCAGGAAUGUGAUUGCUGGAUCAUUCAUAUGGAUGUCUUCAGGGCCAUGCAUCCAGAGCUUGACAUUGUGCAGUUGUACCUGAAGCCACUGCUCAUUGGAGAACUUGCCCCAGGAGAGCCCAGCCAGGAAAGACACAAAAAUCUUACAUUUGCCUGACUCUUGAAAUAAUUUUUAUAACGUGUGGAUCCAUAGACCCCUGUGAAGCAGAGGGAGCAAGGAUUUUAUUCUCUCUUAAAAAAAUGAAGAAACAGACUCACAAAGGGAGCAGGACUAAUCUGAGGACACAGAACUGGUUAUGGGCAAAUCUGAGACUAAUAGGCUCAGAGCUCAUUUUUGCAGCAUGACGCGGGGCACCUUUCCAUAUUUAGGAAGUCCAAGUGGAACCACGUGGUGCAUAAAUUUGUGAUGUGCCAUCUCAAGAAACAGUCUUUCCAUAAUCAAAAUGAAGACUCAGAAUCAAUAAGAAAAAUAUUUAAUCGUUGAAGUAUUAAGAAGAUGGAAAUAAAUCACAUCAUCACUAAGUUGCAAGCAUUGAAGCCGGGACAUGCAAGGAUCUGAGCCAAGACCCCCAGGGAGAUCACUUCAGAUCCAUGAUUCUUUGAAACACUCAUUGAAGGCCUGUCAGCAGACCGGUGGAAUUACUGGCACUUUGAACAACACGUAAAGCCGAACAUCUACCCCAAAGACCCAGAUAUUGACACGGACCCACUUUUUCUCCUUGGAGAUUCACAACCUGUCAAGGUACACUUAGAAAUCUUGAGCACCGAGGAAAUGUUCCUGGAAGUGGUUCGUGGAAAGGCUUACAGCCUUGCCUUGGAAAGAUCAAGCUGGAAAUUCUGGCUUCACACACAAUCUGAGAACAUCUCUCCUUCUUUUAGGUUCAAAAUACAGAUUUGAAAUAACUGAAUCUGGGGCUGUAAGAAUACAAGGCGAUUUAGAGCCGUAACCAUUAAGUCUAUGACCUUACAGAUCAUCCAGUCCAACCUCCCACGGCAGGAAAUAUGGAAAUCCACAUUACUCUGAGCAAUCCCAGUGACAGAUGGGUCCCUGCCCAGUGCCUGUCAUUUCCUCUGAGGCAAUACAAGCCAAUGUUAGAUCGUGGAACCAGAUGACUGAAGUUGCAAUGACUGUCUGAGGUUUAAACAGGGCAUGGAGAAACAUUCACUGAGAGAAUAUAGGUCAAUAUAUUCAAUAAGCACUAGGUCACAUACGUUCACAUAGCUAGUUAUCUCAACUAAUUCUAGCCCAGUUAGAAAAGACUAUGCUGUUAUAUUUAGUUCAUGUUCAUUUUGGUGCAUUUACACAUGAACUACAGCCCAAAUGCCAUGGAAGAGAUCUACAGGUCUCACCUCUAAUUUGAGCUUCUUAAACAACAGAAAAAAGGAGGGGGAAAACCAUCUUCAGAAUUUCUCAGUUAAUUAUUACUUUUUAAAACUCCAACUUAUUUCUGAGGGCUCUGUUCUGUUCCAUUGAUCUAUAUCUCUGUUUUGGUACCAGUACCAUGCUGUUUUGGUUACUGUAGCCUUGUAGUA